rnacentral:rRNA from 1 species
AUGGCUUUAGUGGCGGACUGGUGAGUAACGCGUGAGCAACCUGCCUAUUAGAGGGGAAUAACAGCGAGAAAUCGUUGCUAAUACCGCAUAUGCCAUAAUGGUCACAUGACCAUAGUGGGAAAGGAGUAAUCCGCUAAUAGAUGGGCUCGCGUCUGAUUAGAUAGUUGGUGGGGUAACGGCCUACCAAGUCAACGAUCAGUAGCCGGACUGAGAGGUUGAACGGCCACAUUGGGACUGAGAUACGGCCCAGACUCCUACAGGAGGCAGCAGUCGGGAAUAUUGCGCAAUGGAGGAAACUCUGACGCAGUGACGCCGCGUAUAGGACGAAGGUCUUCGGAUUGUAAACUAUUGUCGUUAGGGAAGAAAAAGGACAGUACCUAAGGAGGAAGCUCCGGCUAACUACGUGCCAGCAGCCGCGGUAAUACGUAGGGAGCGAGCGUUAUCCGGAUUUAUUGGGUGUAAAGGGUGCGUAGACGGGAAAUUAAGUUAGUUGUGAAAUCCCUCGGCUCAACUGAGGAACUGCAACUAAAACUGGUUUUCUUGAGUGUUGGAGAGGAGAGCGGAAUUCCUAGUGUAGCGGUGAAAUGCGUAGAGAUCGGGAGGAACACCAGUGGCGAAGGCGGCUCACUGGACUGUAACUGACGCUGAGGCGCGAAAGUGUGGGGAGCAAACAGGAUUAGAUACCCUGGUAGUCCACACUGUAAACGAUGAAUGCUAGGUGUAGGAGGUAUCGACCCCUUCUGUGCCGCAGUCAACACAAUAAGCAUUCCGCCUGGGGAGUACGGCCGCAAGGUUGAAACUCAAAGAAAUUGACGGGGGCCCGCACAAGCAGCGGAGCAUGUGGUUUAAUUCGAAGCAACGCGAAGAACCUUACCAGGUCUUGACAUCCACUAAAACCUGUAGAGAUACAGUGUGUCUUCGGACAUAGUGAGACAGGUGGUGCAUGGUUGUCGUCAGCUCGUGUCGUGAGAUGUUGGGUUAAGUCCCGCAACGAGCGCAACCCUUGUGAUCAGUUACUAACGGAUAAAGCCGAGGACUCUGAUAAGACUGCCGGGGACAACUCGGAGGAAGGUGGGGACGACGUCAAAUCAUCAUGCCCCUUAUGACCUGGGCUACACACGUGCUACAAUGGCCACUACAGAGAGAAGCGAGUACGAGAGUAGGAGCGGAUCUCAAAAAAGUGGUCCCAGUUCGGAUUGUGGGCUGCAACCCGCCCACAUGAAGUCGGAGUUGCUAGUAAUCGCGGAUCAGCAUGCCGCGGUGAAUACGUUCCCGGGUCUUGCACACACCGCCCGUCA